CAUGCAAGUCGAGCGGGACCUUCGGGUCUAGCGGCGGACGGGUUAGUAACACGUGGGAACGUACCUUUCUCUACGGAAUAGCCUCGGGAAACUGAGCGUAAUACCGUAUACGCCCUUAGGGGGAAAGAUUUAUCGGAGAGAGAUCGGCCCGCGUCUGAUUAGAUAGUUGGUGGGGUAAUGGCCUACCAAGUCUACGAUCAGUAGCUGGUUUGAGAGGAUGAUCAGCAACACUGGGACUGAGACACGGCCCAGACUCCUACGGGAGGCAGCAGUGGGGAAUCUUAGACAAUGGGCGCAAGCCUGAUCUAGCCAUGCCGCGUGAGUGAAGAAGGCCUUAGGGUCGUAAAGCUCUUUCGCUGGGGAAGAUAAUGACUGUACCCAGUAAAGAAACCCCGGCUAACUCCGUGCCAGCAGCCGCGGUAAUACGGAGGGGGUUAGCGUUGUUCGGAAUUACUGGGCGUAAAGCGCGCGUAGGCGGAUUGGAAAGUUAGGGGUGAAAUCCCAGGGCUCAACCCUGGAACUGCCUCUAAAACUCCCAGUCUUGAGGUCGAGAGAGGUGAGUGGAAUUCCGAGUGUAGAGGUGAAAUUCGUAGAUAUUCGGAGGAACACCAGUGGCGAAGGCGGCUCACUGGCUCGAUACUGACGCUGA
rnacentral:rRNA from 1 species